GGACCCAGGGUCAGCCCUCGUGGUACUGAUCUCAGCACGCUGUGGAUGGAGUCUCUCAUGUUCCCGCAGUCUUCAUCCCUUCCAGUCUCUGUAGCCACUAGAUAAACACAUGACAUGCUGCAGGCCGGUCCCAGAGGUGCGGAGACCCAGCACGCAGCGGCCCAGCGGGAGAAGGGUCCCGGGACUGGCCAGGUUCAGUACCUCCAAUUCAACGCUGGAUUUAGCCAGUAACUCACUGGGCAGCUCCAACAUCAUCAUCUCGUUCCAGACCGGAUUCAUCUUGUGCUUCACUCGCCGCGUCUGCUUCUUCUUCAGCUUGGCAUUUAGAUGUUUCAAGUUUGUCUGACUGUAGUCCUCUUGCCUUCAUUACCACCACCCCAAGUCUAUUGGCUGCUGGCAGAUAACUGAGUGACAAUAGAAGCUCUCCAGAUGAUGAUGCCACUUCCUGCUGAAAAAGACUGG